CCGGCCGGGGACAGGGACACGCACUGGGCGCCGCAGGAAAAUGGCGGCGGCCGAGCUCCUCCUCGGGCCUUGCCGGGCCUCUCCCGCGUCACGUGACCGCCCGGCGCCCCGCCCCCGUGACACGCCCCGCCCCCUCAGCGCCGGGGCGGGAGCGUCGCCUCAGGCCGGGUCCCUUCCCCCGGGAUCGCUUCCCCCGGGAUCGCUUCUCCCAGGAUCGCUUCCCUCGGGAUCGCUGCCCCUCGGGCAGCCCCCCUGCCCAUGCCGCUGGGCAGCCUCGCGUUCCUCUGGGCAGGCUCCCCUCGGGAGAUUCGGGCUGUACUGUCUGUCCAGUGCAGUGGGAUGCUUCUGCUGACACCGAUGGAACGACGAUGAUGUAGCGAUAGUGGAAUUUCCAGCUCCUUGCACAUCCCCACAUGUAAAUACGCGGAGAUGCUUUCUCUGCAUAUUUAAAAGCACAGCUCUUAAGCCAAGGCACAGACUCUUUUCACAUCCCUUACACAUGCAUAUAUGCCCUCUUUUUCUGAGUCAGACUUUCAGACAGCACAUUCUUGCUGCCUUGUCCUUGCUGUUCAUGUCACGUUGGUCAUCACAGUGGAUUUGUGGCUGCUGCGCAUCGCUGGAACAGGACAGCCAACACAGACUCUGGAAGGAACCUGAGCAACUGAGAGGAAGAGAAUUUAUUUUGGAGAAUCACAGAGUCACUACGGUGGGAAAAAAUCAGUGAGUCCACCCAUUAACCCAGAACUGGCAACACUAAACCACAUCCACAAGUGCCACAUCUACAUGUCUUUUUAACCCUUUAGAUUAAAAAUAAAAAAUUCCUAAUAUCCAAUCUAAACUUCCCCUGGGACAAAUUGAGGCCAUUUUCUCCUGUCACUUGCUGCCUAGGAGAAGGGACUCACCCCAACCUCAUUACAACCUCCUUUCAGUUGUAGAGAUUGAUAAGGUUUCCUUUAUGGUAUUUUUUACAUGCAGUGCUCCAUGUGAAACAGCUAUGCAGUUGUAAUGGGCCAUUCUUAUGCCAUUUAGAGAGCCAUUUAAACAAAAACUCACCAGCCUAAAACACUUAAAUCUGGCUGCAAUUAAAUUUGAUAUCUACCUGCAGUCACUGUUGGAAUCGUAUGGCUUUUCCAGUGACUGCUAAUGACUGAUGAGGUGCCCAAAAUGAGCUAUUCCCUGGGUCGUAUAACCCACACACUGCUAUUGAUCUUGUUAACAUAGAUUUUGGUGAGUGCAGUUGAAUGUGCUGCCUUGAGAAAUGCUUUUUUCAGUGGAUGCUAAUCCUGAGCUACCAAAAAACCCAUAGGUACAGGAAAGGCAGAUUAUGUUCUGCAAAUCAUACACUGGGAUCUAGCCAAGUACAAAAGAAACUAAACAAGAGCUGCAACCAGGCCUUUGAAGGUAAAACAGUGUGAAACAUUUGCUUCUGUUAAAAAUACUUCAGCUGCUUUUUCUGUGUGUCAGUCUUCCUGCAAAAUCAUUUGCCUCUAUGGCUUUUUUUUCCCCGCAACUUUGGACACAAAAUACACACUCUGGAUGGCUGCCAAAAUGGCGAGGCAGCUUCUCUUAGGUCACUUAAAAGGAUAUCUGAGCAUUAUCGGUUGGAUUUUGUCAUGGAGUGAGGGGAAUAUAAGAUUUUUCUGCUUCCCCAAUGGUACAGCCUCUUGCAAUACUUCAAGCAGACUGUGUUUUCAUAGCUUGUUUUCAGAAGGGGCUGCAUUAUGAGCUAGCCAGAAAACUAAAGCCAAGCUGGUUAUCUCAUACAGCUUGCAACAUUGCUGAGAAGCCAGUUCCCUUGUGGCUAAGAUUUUCCAAUGAUAUUUGAAUGCACUAUCAUCUUUAAUAUCGGAGUGGCCUCCACAAAAUAUCUCAGAAAGUCUGUUUUUGGAAAAGACUGUGCUCCUCUUCUGUGAAAUUGAGCCUUUCUCAGUUGUCACAAGGUAAAUGGGCAGUAACAAAAAUCAUAGACACUUAAAAAUCUUGGCUAAGUUAUUCUUUGACCUUAUAGUUAUUAUGUAUGUUUAAAAAGACCGUGCAAGCUUGUUUGAAUUAUUAGAAUCUACCAGCACUAAUCCUGAAGCCUCCUCAGAUUUGUCUUAUUUAGAUGUGGAUUUAAGCAAGCAAAUAAGAACCUCUUUAAUAUGGAAAUUGGGAGCACUUCAGCAGAAUUAUCAAUGCUGACUUUAGCUUAUUUCCUGAGGUAAACAUAAGUAGUAUCUUCCCUCUCCCAUUAACUUUCUAGCUCCUCAAUAAAACAUUCUAGAGAAUUAGAUUCUUCUCUGUUGCCGGUUUGAGCAGGAAACAUUUAGUGCUGGUGAAUAGUAAGUAUUUUCUAUAUGCAAAUUUGCUCAUUUGCUGCCCCUUGCUUCUUGUUAAGGGAAAGGGUCAUUUAUUCUGCUUAAAGCUUUCCCUCAGAGCUAUUCAAAUUAACAAGAUGUUAAGUGCUUUACUGAGGAGGGUCUAUAAUUUCCUCAGCCGGUACAGCUGGAAAAUCGACAUUUAUUCAUUCUCUGCUCAGAAAUUACUGGGACAGAGACAUACAUUUGCUAUGUAAAAUACAUUGUUAAUUUCUCAGCAUGUAUCAUGAUGCUGGGUGAGAGUUAAGAAGGUUAAUGAAAUAUUUAAAGUGAAUUUUUGCAUAGCAUUUUUUUCAGUACUGCAAUGGAUAAACCACAAAGCUAAGAGCAUGUUUAUCUAAGGCAUUUAAUCAGAUGUUUUCAUCCUAUAGAAUGUAUAGAGGCUAUUAUCAAGAUGUUCUAACACCACUUGUAUUAGAUUAAGCUCUUUAUAAAUACUCUUUUAAAGGUGAAUUUGAAAUUUGCUUCUAAGGUUGUAUUGCUGUAGUAAUGAGCAGCAGAGCUGAUGGCUCUCUGAGUUUGCUUUGAUUUAUUCUAUUUUUGAGGCCAAACUAGCUGUAGUUGCUUUUGGGCUUGAGAUUUUUAGAGGAGAUGCACCUGUGUCAUCCCUGUCAGUCCAAAAUUUAGUGGAUCUCAAGGGCUCUGAGUAAGUUGUGUAUAGCAAAGACAGUAUUUUUGACUAGGUCCCCUGGUCCAAGACAUCCAGGCCGAGGCGUUGUGUAAUGUUGAUUUUUGUCUUCUUCGUGGAGCUCCUCGAGCGAUGGAAUUUUUUGAAUGUCAUCAAAAGAAGUCAGACCCAGAUGUGGGCUGUUUCUGUUUGAUAUGCCAGGAGUAAAGCUAGCUUUCUGUAGUUUCCCAUGCUGUGAGAGAAGGAUUAAAACGAAGGUAUUUGAACACUGUAAAAUUACACACAUAUAAAGAAUGGAUGUAUUCAAAAGGGCUCUUUGCAAAUAAACAAACAACAACAAAAAAAGGCACUGCUUUGACAGAGCCAGCCUUGAAAAGAGCAUGUCAAGUUCAAAUAACAGCUGUACCUGCUGGAGCUGGAACCAAAACAAUCUGGUCCACUUCAUUUGCUGCUUCACAAACAAGGAUUUUGUUGAUAAAAAUGCUCUUAAGCCUUUUCAGUUGUGUGGAAGAUACAAUAUUGCUCCAAAGUGGCUUUACAGGAGCAGGCUGUACUGGUGGAGCAUGGCGACAGUUUGGCUUUUUUUCUAGGCAGUGGGUUUGGCUCCUGCUGAUCAGGUACAGAAGCAUAGAAUGGGUGGGAUGGGACCUUUGAAGAUCAUCUCGUUCCAGCCUCCCUGCCAUGAGAAGGGACAUCUUCCUGCCCUUCCUUCCUUCCAGCUUCCAGCCCCUUCCAGCCUGCCCUUAAAAGAUUCUAGGGAUGGGGAAUCUACCACUUCUCUCUGCCAGUGUCUCACCAUCAUCACAGUAAAUAAUUUAUUCCUAAUAUCUAAUCUCAACCUGCCCUACUUCAGAAACUCCAUUUUUAUUUCUGCUGCACUACAUGCCCUUCUUAAAAGUCUCUCUCAAUCUUUCUUGUAAGCCCCCUUUUAUUGGAAGGCUGCAAAAAGGUCUUUUUGAAGCUUUAUCUUCUCCAGGCUGAAAAACCUCUUCUCUCAGCCUUUCCUCACAGGAGAUGUACUCCAGCCUUCUAAUCACUUUUGUGGUCCUUCUCUUGCCCUGCUCCAAGAGGUCCACGCCUUUCCUCCAUUGCUGGCUCCAGGACUGGACGCAGUACUCCAGGUGUGGUCUAACCAGAGUGGAGUACAGAUUUGACAACCAACACUACAAGCCAAACACAGUCUGAAAAAAAACCCCUUGGGAGUCUAGAUAUCUGUUUUAUUUCUAUUCUUCAUUUAAAGUCAGAAGCUGCCAUCUUCAGUGAGCUCAUCAUUAGCAGGAUGUGAAUUAUAUGGAACAAGUUUCUGACCCUGUUUCUGCUGUGGUAAAGCUGAAGUAAUUCUGACUGUUGGGCUGUUAUGCCAUGGGUGAGCAUUUUUGGGCAUUUAACUGUUUGUUUAGUUCCUUCAGCAGAAUCACUGAUGUCAGCAGCAGCCAAGCACAGCCUCAGCUUGCUGGUUAUUAGAUAAAGAAGACAAGAUUGCAGUUUUAGGGGAAUUUGACUCACACACAGCACCACUGAUCUUCUCACAGUGGUGCAGUGUAGAAAGAUAAACUGUUGUAGUUAUAACAGUACAAAAACCUGGCAUCUGAGACAGAGAUAGUUUAACUUGUGUAUUUUUAGAGGCAUCACAAUCUAUAUGUUUGGGAAUUUGUUUGAUUGUUGUUUAUCUUUUAAAAAUUUGGAAAUCAACUUUCUCCUUUUUUGCAGCAGAGAAUUUUUGAGCAGUUUCAGGAAAAUAAAUAUAAGGCAUGGGAUCUUGAACAGCUAUGUGGCUAUGUGGCUCUGUGUCAGAAAUUGGAGUUAAUGGGUAGCAACAACAAAAAUAAAUGGAAAUUCUACCUUAAAUGGUGGACAAAAUGCUUUAAAAAUGAGUUAAGACCCAUUUUUUGUUUACUUUAUGUAAGAUUUAUGCAAGUUCUCCAAUCUCUUUUCCAGGAUAAAUGUAAACUGGACAAACUCUUUUUAAAUCUUCUGCAGUUAUCAUGAAGAACCAAAGAAUGAUAUUAGGCUGAAAAAUCUCUGCCUAGAUUAUCCGCUGAGAAACAUCUUCCUAAAACCAAAUUUUUCUCUCCAAAUUUGAGAAUUGUGGUCAUUUGUAAUUGCAAAUAAGCCAGCCAUGCUAGUUGGGGCUCUCAAUAUUUUUUGCAUUAUAGCUGGAUAUGCACAACAAGUCAGUGUGUGCCUCAGCAAAACUGGACAACAGGAAUCCACCAGUUUAAAAGGAGGAUUGCAUUACACAUAAAAGGGAAAAACCUGUUCGUUGUAAAUGGUUUCAUUUGUAUCUCACAGCAAAUUAGGUUCCUUCAAAAUCUCCUCAAGGGAGUGAGGCAUCAUGAGCCUUUCAGCAGGGGCCCCAGACUGGGCUCUACUUCAAACUUCUUCAGAAGAACAGAACAAACAUCCUAUUUCCACUGAGCCGGAUGUUUUCUGAAGGUAGAACAAGGUAUCCUCUGUACCUCAAAGGGGGGAAGGAUCACAUAACACCAGGCAUAAAUGUGAAGUUACCAGUUUUCACAGGCUUUAUUAUUAUUACUUCUUUAAACCAGGAAGGUUUCCUACAUCCCAGUCAGAGCUAUGAAGUUCUAUGAGUUUUCUCUGCUUUUCUCUGCUUCCUGACAUCCAAAUCCCAGACUCUCAAACACAUUCAUUAUGUGCUGGGCACCUUAGCAGAUAGAGAGUGGCUGGUAGAACAUUUCACCCUCGUUGCACCCCUAUGACAAGUACAGAAAUGGUGUAUGUGGAAAAUUAUUUAUCAGGAAGCAUUUGAUGUGUUUUUAGUUCUCCUUUGAAGCAAUUUAGUUCUCCUUUGAAGCAAUUUAGUGGCUGGAAAGCAAGGGAGAGGAGAUCAAGUUCCCAGCACACUGCCAGUAACUUCUCUGUAGACUUCAGCUUUGGAGUCAGCCACACGUGAGCUUUUUCAGAGUUGUCAGCAAUUCAGAUCAAAAUUGAAGCCUCUUUCUUAUCACACCAUACAAGCAGCAGUUCCUGCCAUUUUCUUCCCUUAACUCAAUACCCUGUUGUCAGGCAUGGGAGCAGGCAGCCCAGGGAAGUGGUGGAAUAUAUGUCCCUGGAAAUAUAUAAAAAAAGCAUGUGGAUAUGGCACUUGGGGACAACAUUUCGUGAUGAACAUGGUGGUACUCGGUUAAUGGUUGGACACUACAAUUUUAGAGGUCUUUUCCAAUCAAGACAAUUCCAUGAUUCUAAUCAACUGAACAAAAGUUUGUAUGAACUUUGUCCUAUACUGGUCACUCUCCAGAACGAAACAGGUUGGUAUUGUUGUUGUAGAGUUCACCAGGAGCAUGAAACAAACCAUAGCAAGGGUCUUUUUCUCUAGCAAACUGCCUAAGCUUAAAUAGCUCACAUUCUUCUGGACUUCUCUGUUCUUGCUUUAAUGGUCUUGCACGUUUUGCCUGCAUAUACAAAUACUUGGAUGUUGUUUAAAGCGUUCUGGAAAAUUAAUUUUUUUAUUCAUGCCCAAGAGAGGAAAGGGCGUGAUCAGCUCAAGGGAUUAAUAAAAAAGAAUUUGAAGUUU